GUCACUUGGCCGUGAAGUAAUCUCAGUUUAACUGACUGAAAGCCUGCAUCUUCAUCGGAGCUUUGAAGGACAAAGGACAUCCAAUUUCCUGCUCUGCUUCUACAUUUUGGUUAAAACUUCGCUGUGAGGUUGACAAGCGGGAAUGACUGAGGUCAGCUCAGGCUAAAUAACGUUAAGUUGAUGGCAGCAAGCAGUGUUCCCUGGUGUGGCAGUUUCUACACACUGUGGUGUAUGGACUUCCUGUUCUGCCAGCAUUCAUUUUUGCAGACAAACUGUAACUUAUUUUUUUGUUUUUUAUUUUAUUAUUAAUUAAACUGUGUAUAGUUUUACAACACUGCAAUUACAUUGCAAUUGAUGAUUCUUACUGAUGAUUCUUAUAUCUUCAGAUAUUGAGGUUUAUGUAAAUGUUAUGAAAUGUUUUCAUAUUUUAAAUUUGUAUUCUUAAGGUAAAUUUUUCUGACUGAAGUCAGUGAUGCAUUUACUGUGAUAUUUUCAUAGAAUGCAAGCGUUUUACACGCUGUUAUGACGAAAUCAGCUCCGUAUAAUAGACAUAUAUUAGAUAUAAGGUUUGCUAUUUUAGCCUAGAAAUCCUUUACAAAUAUAAGAAAAUGUGUAUUAAUAAAACGAAGGACGACAUUUUAUUUAGAUCACCUAAAUUGCUUACACUUACUUCAAGUUCAAUUCAAUUCAAUUCAAGUUUAUUUGUAUAGCGCUUUUUACAACAGGCUUCAUCUCAAAGCAGCUUUACAGAACAUAAACAUAGAACAGAAGUUAAAGAUA